rnacentral:rRNA from 1 species
CAGUAGCCACGGUAAUACGUAGGUGGCAAGCGUUAUCCGGAAUUAUUGGGCGUAAAGCGCGCGUAGGCGGUUUUUUAAGUCUGAUGUGAAAGCCCACGGCUCAACCGUGGAGGGUCAUUGGAAACUGGAAAACUUGAGUGCAGAAGAGGAAAGUGGAAUUCCAUGUGUAGCGGUGAAAUGCGCAGAGAUAUGGAGGAACACCAGUGGCGAAGGCGACUUUCUGGUCUGUAACUGACGCUGAUGUGCGAAAGCGUGGGGAUCAAACAGGAUUAGAUACCCCCGUAGUCCCUGUCUCUUAUAC